AUGAGCAGAACUGCCAAGGAUCUCCGCAUUUGGAGCAGAAAUCUGAUCGAGGACACAAAGCUCCAAUUCCACAUUGCAUGUGAAGUAAUCUCGCCCCUCGAUGUGGCCCAGGAGCGACGGCGGCUCACGGAUGCCGAGUCUGAGCUCAGGAAAGGACUGAAGACCAAGCUUCUCGGCCUUGCAGCGAUUGAGCGCUGUAGGAAAAGGCAAGCCUCACGCCUCACAUGGCUGCGUGCAGGCAAUGCCACCAAGUUCUUCAUGGCCAAGAUCAGCUCAAGAAGGCGCAAGAACUUCAUCCAUGCUCUGAAGGUCGGAGAAAAUGUUGUGAUGGCGCAUGUAGAAAAGGAAAAAGCAAUCCACGACCACUUCAGUAGCAUUUUGGGCACUCCUCAACAUCGACCCACGUCAAUCAACUGGGCUCAGCUCCAAAUGCCAACGGUGCAGGGAGGAGGACUAGACAACCCAUUUACAGAACAGGAGGUCUGGGCUGCGAUCAAGGCCUAG
rnacentral:rRNA from 1 species